rnacentral:rRNA from 1 species
CCUACGGGUGGCAGCAGUGGGGAAUAUUGGACAAUGGGCGAAAGCCUGAUCCAGCCAUGCCGCGUGUGUGAAGAAGGCCUUCGGGUUGUAAAGCACUUUCAGUGGGGAAGAAAGCCUUGGGGCUAAUACCCUCGAGGAAGGACAUCACCCACAGAAGAAGCACCGGCUAACUCCGUGCCAGCAGCCGCGGUAAUACGGAGGUGGCAGCGUUAAUCGGAAUUACUGGGCGUAAAGCGCGCGUAGGCGGUCUGAUAAGCCGGUUGUGAAAACCCCGGGCUCAACCUGGGAACGGCAUCCGGAACUGUCAGGCUAGAGUGCAGGAGAGGAAGGUAGAAUUCCCGGUGUAGCGGUGAAAUGCGUAGAGAUCGGGAGGAAUACCAGUGGCGAAGGCGGCCUUCUGGACUGACACUGACGCUGAGGUGCGAAAGCGUGGGUAGCAAACAGGAUUAGAUACCCGUGUAGUC